UACUGUUCACAUUGUGUACCUAUGUUUUCCUUUACAUUUGUGUAACCUCCCAACAACUCUGUGAAGGGCAUCAACUCCAUUCACAGAGUUGUUGGGAGGUUACACAAAUGUAAAGGAAAACAUAGGUACACAAUGUGAACAGUA
rnacentral:miRNA from 1 species